ensembl:lncRNA
CUCAGCCUAAAGCUUGAGCUCUCCACCAGUUCAUUAUUCAUCCCAUGACUUCCCUUGACUGUUGUUAGUGAAGACUUGUUUCUAGAAAACGAUUCUUAUUACCUGCUCUGACGUAGAUCACCAACAAAUGACCAGGUUGCCUUGAGUCUUCCAUCAGCAGAAAAUCAUAAGAGGAAAAGAACAAAAACAUGCUCAAACUUCUUCUGGCCACAUGGAGAGCAGAUACAUGAGGAAAAUGGACACAGAUCAUUCCAGAUGGGAAAGUUUGACUUGUUGAAGCCUGGGUCUCAUACAAUCUAAUCAAAGAUCUGAAAAAGGUUUUUUUUAAUUGUCAAAUAUUUAUUAUAUACUUAAUAACGCAACAACAAUUUUAUGUAACAUAACUAUGUAUCUGCCCC